UUGGAGGGCAAGUCUGGUGCCAGCAGCCGCGGUAAUUCCAGCUCCAAUAGCGUAUAUUAAAGUUGCUGCAGUUAAAAAGCUCGUAGUUGAAUUUCGGGACCAAUAUGUCGGUCGUGCUUUUGUACGUACUGAUAUAAUUGGUUUCUCCCUUCUGAAGAACCUUGAUGUCAUUAAUUUGGUGUCUUGGGGAAUCAGGACUGUUACUUUGAAAAAAUUAGAGUGUUUAAAGCAGGCUCGCGCUUGAAUACAUUAGCAUGGAAUAAUGAAAUAGGACGUUUGAUUCUAUUUUGUUGGUUUCUAGGAUCGACGUAAUGAUUAAUAGGGAUAGUUGGGGGCAUUAGUAUUCAAUUGUCAGAGGUGAAAUUCUUGGAUUUAUUGAAGACUAACUACUGCGAAAGCAUUUGCCAAGGAUGUUUUCAUUAAUCAAGAACGAAAGUUAGGGGAUCGAAGACGAUCAGAUACCGUCGUAGUCUUAACCAUAAACUAUGCCGACUAGGGAUCGGAUGAUGUUAAUUUUUUAAUGACUCAUUCGGCGCCUUACGGGAAAC
rnacentral:rRNA from 1 species